UGGGGAAUAUUGCACAAUGGGGGGAAGCCCUGAUGCAGCGACGCCGCGUGAGCGAAGAAGUAUUUCGGUAUGUAAAGCUCUAUCAGCAGGGAAGAAGAAUGACGGUACCUGACUAAGAAGCACCGGCUAAAUACGUGCCAGCAGCCGCGGUAAUACGUAUGGUGCAAGCGUUAUCCGGAUUUACUGGGUGUAAAGGGAGCGCAGGCGGUGCGGCAAGUCUGAUGUGAGAGCCCGGGGCUCAACCCCGGUACUGCAUUGGAAACUGUCGUACUAGAGUGUCGGAGGGGCAAGUGGAAUUCCUAGUGUAGCGGUGAAAUGCG
rnacentral:rRNA from 1 species